rnacentral:rRNA from 1 species
UACGGAGGGGGCUAGCGUUGUUCGGAAUUACUGGGCGUAAAGGGCUCGUAGGUGGCCAACUAAGUCAGACGUGAAAUCCCUCGGCUUAACCGGGGAACUGCGUCUGAUACUGGAUGGCUUGAGUUUGGGAGAGGGACGCGGAAUUCCAGGUGUAGCGGUGAAAUGCGUAGAUAUCUGGAGGAACACCGGUGGCGAAGGCGGCGUCCUGGACCAACACUGACACUGAUGAGCGAAAGCCAGGGGAGCAAACGGG